CGUUGCCGUGUCAUUACGGCUCGUCUUAAAUGCUUGAGUGUACCCUGUUUUGCAGUGUAUCCGGUGUAAUAAACGUUUCACCAGAGUUGGUCGCAAGACCGCAUUUGCUCUUUGGGCUCUAUGCUUUCGAACCGUCCUUUACCGGACAAACUUUUUGACAAUUUGACCUCAAAUCGGGUGGGACUACCCGCUGAACUUAA
rnacentral:misc_RNA from 1 species